UCUUGCCAAGUAUAAACCAUCCAAUUUUACUGGUUUGUUGCCUAGAAGUUUUCCAUCAGACAAAUGAGCAGAUAGAGCUAACGUACCAGAUCGUUCACUUUUUGAAAUGUCGAAAAGGAGAUGAAGAGGCUGUGAGUAAUGAGCUUGAGUUAUUUGUCCGUAUUCUACUGCUGAAUAAGACGACAUAUUCUCCGCUCAGUAUGUGCACCUUGUCAAGGUCUCUUGGUGUGAAGAUUUUUGGGGCCAUCGUGACGUACCUUGUUGUAAUACUAUCUUUGUGAAACUGUAGCUCCUGCACUAGUGUUGAAGAACAAAAUAUCUUGCCUGUCAACACAACAAAAAAAAACUUACUCGGUUCUCCUUAUUACAAGUUUUGAAGACCGUUCACUUAUCACAUCACGUUUGAAUUGUAACACUCACAUCUCUUUAAUAAUAAAUUGUUUUGUGUGA